UCCCUUGUGGUCUAGUGGGUAAGACUCUAUGUUCCCAAUGCAGAGGCCCCAGGUUUUGAUCCCUGGUUGGGGAA
rnacentral:tRNA from 1 species